GAUGAACGCUGGCGGCGUGCUUAAUACAUGCAAGUCGAACGGACAGAUCAGGAGCUUGCUGCUUUGACGUUAGCGGCGGACGAGUGAGUAACACGUGGAUAACCUACCUAUCUGACUGGGAUAAUUUCGGUAAACCGGAGCUAAUACCAGAUGACAUAUUGAACCGCAUGGUUCAAUAGUGAGAGGCGGCUUUGCUGUCACUUAUACAUGGAUCCGCGCCGUUUUAGCUGGUUGGUAAGGUAAAGGCUUACCAAGGCAACCAUAGGUAGCCGACCUGAGGGAGUGAUCGGCCACCCUGGAAGUGAGACACGGUCCAGACUCCUACGAGAGGGAGCAGUCGGGAAUGUUCCGCAAUGGGCGAAAGCCUGACGGAGCAACGCCGCGUGAGUGAUGAAGGUCUUCGGAUCGUAAAACUCUGUUUUCAGGUAAGAACAAAUGUGUAAGUAACUGUGCACAGCUUGACGGUACCUGGUCAAAAAGCCACGGCUAACUACGUG
rnacentral:rRNA from 1 species